CCUACGGGUGGCUGCAGUGGGGAAUAUUGGACAAUGGGCGAAAGCCUGAUCCAGCCAUGCCGCGUGUGUGAAGAAGGCCUUCGGGUUGUAAAGCACUUUCAGUGGGGAAGAAAGCCUUGGGGCUAAUACCCUCGAGGAAGGACAUCACCCACAGAAGAAGCACCGGCUAACUCCGUGCCAGCAGCCGCGGUAAUACGGAGGGUGCGAGCGUUAAUCGGAAUUACUGGGCGUAAAGCGCGCGUAGGCGGUCUGAUAAGCCGGUUGUGAAAGCCCCGGGCUCAACCUGGGAACGGCAUCCGGAACUGUCAGGCUAGAGUGCAGGAGAGGAAGGUAGAAUUCCCGGGGUAGCGGGGAAAUGCGUAGAGAUCGGGAGGAAUACCAGUGGCGAAGGCGGCCUUCUGGACUGACACUGACGCUGAGGUGCGAAAGCGUGGGUAGCAAACAGGAUUAGAUACCCCUGUAGUC
rnacentral:rRNA from 1 species